ACACUUCCCAACAGCUAGCCCACCAGAAAAACCUAACAAACAAACAUAAAUUAACCCCAAAUACCCCUAAAAAACAAAACAAACCAUUUUACCAUCUUAGUAUAUGCGAUAAAAAAGAAACCUGGCGCAAUAGAAAAAGUACCGCAAGGGAAAGCUGAAAGAGAAAUGAAACAACCCAGUUAAGAUAAAAAAGCAGAGACUACCCCUCGUACCUUUUGCAUCAUGAAUUAGUUAGAAACCUUCAAGCAAAGUGCACUUUAGUUUGAACCCCCGAAACUGAGCGAGCUACUCCAAGACUGCCUAUUAGGGCUAACCCGUCUCUGUGGCAAAAGAGUGGGAUGAACUUCGAGUAGAGGUGACAGAUCUAACGAGCCCAGUUAUAGCUGGUUACCUACAAAAUGAAUAGAAGUUCAGCCUUUCAGCUUCUUUAUUUAAGAUGGAUCAACUCCCACAACCAAUAUCAAGAAGCCUAAAGAGUUAUUCAAAGGGGGCACACCCCCUUUGAAAAAAGACACAACUUUAAUAAGCAGGUUAAAGAUCAAAAACUACUAAGGUAACACACCCAGGUGGGCCUAAAAGCAGCCACCCAUACUGAGAGCGUUAAAGCCCAAGUGCACUACCUCCCCAAAUCCCGACAAAAAUAUCUUAAACCCCUUCAUUCAACAGUAGGACUUCUUAUGCAGACAUAAGAGAGAUACUGCUAACAUGAGUAAUAAGGGGCCAAGACCCCCUCCAAAGCACCUGUUUACAUCAGAACGAACUCGCACUGAACAUUAACGCCCCCAACCAAAGAGGGAAAUGAGAAAAACAAAAUAACCUAGAAAAACCCCCAAACCCUCAGCGUUACCCCUACACAGGUGUGCCCAAGGAAAGACUAAAAGAAAAAGAAGGAACUCGGCAAACCCUGGCCUCGCCUGUUUACCAAAAACAUCGCCUCUUGCAUCCCCCUACAUAUAAGAGGUCCCGCCUGCCCAGUGACUAUUGUUUAAACGGCCGCGGUAUUUUGACCGUGCUAAGGUAGCGAAAUCAUUUGUCUUUUAAAUGAAGACCUGUAUGAAUGGCACCACGAGGGCCAAGCUGUCUCCUUUUUCCAGUCAAUGAAAUUGAUCUUCCCGUGCAGAAGCGGGAAUACCACCAUAAGACGAGAAGACCCUAUGGAGCUUUAGACAAAAGACAGCCCAUGUUAAAUUCCCAACAUUAACGGACUAAACCUAUUGAUCUCUGUCCUCCUGUCUUUGGUUGGGGCGACCGCGGGACAACAAAAAACUCCCAUGUGGAAUAUGGCCUCUCCCUUCCAUUCCCCUUACCAUUAAAGCUAGAGCCACAGCUCCCACAAACAGAAUUUCUGACCUACAAGAUCCGGCAAAGCCGAUCAACGGACCCAGUUACCCUAGGGAUAACAGCGCAAUCCCCUUUCAGAGCCCCUAUCGACAAGGGGGUUUACGACCUCGAUGUUGGAUCAGGACCCCCUAUUGGUGCAACCGCUAUUAAGGGUUC
rnacentral:rRNA from 1 species